CCUACGGGAUGCAGCAGUGGGGAAUAUUGCACAAUGGGCGAAAGCCUGCUGCAGCAACGCCGCGUGAGUGAUGAAGGCCUUCGGGUCGUAAAGCUCUGUCCUCAAGGAAGAUGAUGACGGUACUUGAGGAGGAGGCCCCGGCUAACUACGGGCCAGCAGCCUCGGUAAUACGUGGGGGGCUAGCGUUAUACGGACUUACUGGGCGUAAAGGGUGCGUAGGUGGUUUCUUAAGUCAGAGGUGAAAGGCUACGGCUCAACCGUAGUAAGCCUUUGACACUGGGGAACGUGAGUGCAGGAGAGGAGAGUGGAAUUCCUAGUGUAGCGGUGAAAUGCGUAGAGAUUAGGAGGAACACCAGUUGCGAAGGCGGCUCUCUGGACUGUAACUGACACUGAGGCACGAAAGCGUGGGGAGCAAACAGGAUUAGAUACCCGAGUAGUC
rnacentral:rRNA from 1 species